GGAUAGCUCAGUUGGUAGAGCGUGAGACUCUCAGGGUCGUGGGUUCAAGCCCCACGUUGGGCA
rnacentral:tRNA from 1 species